UGGAUGCAUUUGGUGAUCUUUGGAAUAGCUACAGUCCAUCUUACUCAGAGGAUCGUCCAAAGGGUGAAACUGGAAACUGGAAUGGGAAGAUCAGUUAUGUGAAUUCUUUCAGGAAGAUGAAUAUUUGGAGAAAAAAGUCUGAAUCCUGAUAUUUUUGUAACCUGGAAAGCUUGGAAGAUGCCAGGAAAAAUUACAGGGGCAGAAGAAGAUCCUGGAUGUUGUGAUCAUUUGACUCCUGUGGUGAUAACUGAAAUUGCUCUUGGAAGCUCUGAUGCAAAGAAUGCAAGAAAUGCUGGUAAAAACAAAGCUCUUGUACCUAAGUGCAUUUCAGAGAAAAAAUUCAUUAUAGGAGCUAUUAUUCUGGUCGUUGUUUUGAUUAUCGUUAUAAUUUCACUGGC